rnacentral:tRNA from 1 species
GCCUGACUGGCUCAGUUGGUAGAGCAUGUGACUCUUGAUCCUGGUGUUGUGGGUUCGAGCCCCAGGAUGGGUU